rfam:Genlisea aurea contig_41731, whole genome shotgun sequence.
ACCCAUUUGGCGGAAUUGGUAGACGCGCUAAUCUCAAAAAUUAGUUAUUAUUAGUGCUGGUUCAAGUCCAGCAAUGGGCA